rnacentral:rRNA from 1 species
AUUGAACGCUGGCGGCAGGCCUAACACAUGCAAGUCGAGGGGUAGAGUUCUUCGGGACUUGAGACCGGCGCACGGGUGCGUAACGCGUAUGCAAUCUACCUUAUACAGGGGAAUAGCCCCAGAGAAAUUUGGAUUAAUGCCCCAUAGUGUUAUCGAAUCGCAUGGUUUGAUAACUAAAGUUCCAACGGUAUAAGAUGAGCAUGCGUCCCAUUAGUUAGUUGGUAAGGUAACGGCUUACCAAGACAAUGAUGGGUAGGGGUCCUGAGAGGGAGAUCCCCCACACUGGUACUGAGACACGGACCAGACUCCUACGGGAGGCAGCAGUGAGGAAUAUUGGUCAAUGGGCGCAAGCCUGAACCAGCCAUGCCGCGUGCAGGAAGACGGUCCUAUGGAUUGUAAACUGUCUUUUAUACAGGAAGAACCCUCCACGUGUGGGAGCUUGACGGUACUGUAGGAAUAAGGAUCGGC